AACUAGAAAUAGCCUACAAACAUAUUUAAUAAAAAUUAUCCUAAUAAAAUCAAACCAAAGCAUUUAUAAUAAUAAAGUAUAGGUGAUAGAAAUUGUAUCUAGCGCUAUAGAGAGAGUACCGCAAGGGAAAAAUGAAAGAAACCUAAAAGUAAAAAAUAGCAAAGAUCAACCCUUGUACCUUUUGCAUAAUGAUUCAACUAGAAAAAUAUUAGCAAAAAGAAUUGAAGUUAAGUAACCCGAAACCAGACGAGCUACCUACUAGCAGCUUAAUAGAGCGAACUCGUCUAUGUGGCAAAAUAGUGACAUGACUACUAGGUAGAGGCGACAAACCUAUCGAGCCUGGUGAUAGCUGGUUAUCCAGAACAGAAUCUUAGUUCUAACUUAAGUCUACCAAAAACAGAAAAAUUAAAAUGUAAACUUAAGCAAUAGUCCAAAAGGGUACAGCCUUUUAGACACGGGAUACAACCCUCAUUAGAGAGUAAAAAAAAAUAAAUCACAAUAGUUGGCCUAAAAGCAGCCACCAAAUGAGACAGCGUUCAAGCUCAACAGUAUACAAAAUUAAUCCCAGCCUACAAUGAUUGAUACUCCUAAUACUAAAACUGGAUUAUUCUAUUAAUAAAUAGAAGAAAUAAUGUUGAUAUGAGUAACAAGAAAUAUUUCUCCCUGCACACGUGUAUGUUAGAACGAAUAAUUCGCUGACAGUUAUCAAAACAAAUACAUUUAUUAACUCAAACUCUUAAUAUAAAUUGUUAAUCCAACACAGGGGUGCAUUUAAGGAAAGAUUAAAAAAAGUAAAAGGAACUCGGCAAACACAAACCCCGCCUGUUUACCAAAAACAUCACCUCUAGCAUAAAAAGUAUUAGAGGCAUUACCUGCCCAGUGACUCCAGUUAAACGGCCGCGGUAUCCUGACCGUGCAAAGGUAGCAUAAUCACUUGUUCUCUAAAUAGGGACUUGUAUGAACGGCCUCACGAGGGUUUAACUGUCUCUUACUUUCAAUCAGUGAAAUUGACAUUCCCGUGAAGAGGCGGGAAUUAAAAAAUAAGACGAGAAGACCCUAUGGAGCUUUAAUUAACUAAUUUACAAAUUAUAAUACUAAUCUACAAGAAAUAAGUCAAAAUUAACUAAAUUAGCAAUUUAGGUUGGGGCGACCUCGAAAUAAAAACUAACUUUCGAGAAAAUUCACUAAGGCCUACAAGCCAAGGUUAUCCAAUCAUACAUUGAUCCGCUAUAAGCGAUCAACGAAAUAAGUUACCCUAGGGAUAACAGCGCAAUCCUAUUUAAGAGUCCAUAUCGACAAUUUAGGGUUUACGACCUCGAUGUUGGAUCAGGACAUCCCAAUGGUGUAGCAGCUAUUAAUGUGUUCGUUUGUUCAACGAUUAAAGUCCUACGUGAUCUGAGUUCAGACCGGAGUAAUCCAGGUCGGUUUCUAUCUAUUUACAAGUCCCUCCCAGUACGAAAGGACAAGAGGAGACAGGGCCCACUUAGGAUAAGCGCCCUAAUGAUGAUGGAUGAACUAAUCUUAAUCCAAUACGACUAUUCACCACCCCGAGAAAAGGGUC
rnacentral:rRNA from 1 species